GCCGCCCAUCCCGUAUUCCCAUUUGACCAUUCUCCAUCCGACCAUCCCGUUUUCGGCAAACGAAUCGGCGAAACGGUGACCCUGCACACUUGCGAGGCUGCGAGGAGGUGAGGUGAGGCGUCGAGGCAGUGAGGCGAGGCGGUGAUGCGCGAUGCGGUGAGGCGAGAUGGCGAAGCAGCGAGGCGGUGACUCCGAUGAGGUGGAUUCUGAACAAGACAAGAUUAUGGUGAAGGCUUGAGUUUCAUUUUUUUUUUUUAGUUUAUUGAUUGAUUUUGGUUGUAAUUUUAUAACAUGAUGAUAAAUAAAUUUGUGGUUUUAUGUAUGUAUUAGUAUUUUUUUUA